rnacentral:rRNA from 2 species
GGUUAAUAUUCCUGCACGACUUGUAAUUGCGAUGGGGGGACGGAGAAGGCUAGGUGGGCCAGGCGACGGUUGUCCUGGUGAAAGUGCGUAGGUGGUGUUUCUAGGCAAAUCCGGAGACACAACACUGAGACACGAGACGAACGCACUACGGUGCGGAAGCCAUUGAUGCCCUGCUUCCAGGAAAAGCCUCUAAGCUUCAGAUUACAAGUCAUCGUACCCCAAACCGACACAGGUGGUCGGGUAGAGAAUACCAAGGCGCUUGAGAGAACUCGGGUGAAGGAACUAGGCAAAAU